ACGGAGGGUGCAAGCGUUAUCCGGAUUCACUGGGUUUAAAGGGUGCGUAGGUGGACAGGUAAGUCAGUGGUGAAAUCCCCGAGCUUAACUCGGGAACUGCCGUUGAUACUAUCUGUCUUGAAUAUCGCGGAGGUAAGCGGAAUAUGUCAUGUAGCGGUGAAAUGCUUAGAUAUGACAUAGAACACCGAUUGCGAAGGCAGCUUACUACACGAUCAUUGACACUGAGGCACGAAAGCGUGGGGAGCAAACAGGA
rnacentral:rRNA from 1 species